rnacentral:rRNA from 1 species
ACGGAGGGGGCUAGCGUUAUUCGGAAUUACUGGGCGUAAAGCGCACGUAGGCGGAUUAGAAAGUCAGAGGUGAAAUCCCAGGGCUCAACCUUGGAACUGCCUUUGAAACUUCUAGUCUUGAGUUCGAGAGAGGUGAGUGGAAUUCCGAGUGUAGAGGUGAAAUUCGUAGAUAUUCGGAGGAACACCAGUGGCGAAGGCGGCUCACUGGCUCGAUACUGACGCUGAGGUGCGAAAGCGUGGGGAGCAAACAGG